rnacentral:rRNA from 1 species
AUUGAACGCUGGCGGCGUGGUUAAGACAUGCAAGUCGAACGGUUUUUCAGGUGUAGCAAUACAUUUGAAAAGCAGUGGCGAACGGGUGCGUAACACGUGAACAAUCUACCUUUUAGUGUGGAAUAGCUCGGCGAAAGCCGGAUUAAUACCGCAUGUGGUUGCUGCUCGCAUGAGUGGCAUACUAAAGUCAGGGACCGCAAGGCCUGACGCUAUUAGAGGAGUUCUCGCCCUGUCAGCUAGUUGGCGAGGUAACGGCUCACCAAGGCGAAGACGGGUAGAUGAUCUAGGAGGAUGAUCAGCCACACUGGAACUGAGACACGGUCCAGACACCUACGGUUGGCAGCAGUUUCGAAUCAUUCACAAUGGGCGAAAGCCUGAUGGUGCGACGCCGCGUGAGGGAUGAAGGGCCUCGGAUUGUAAACCUCUGUCACCGGGGAAGAAACGCUUCAAGUUAACAGCUUGAAGCCUGACUUAACCCGGAGAGGAAGCAGUGGCUAACUCUGUGCCAGCAGCCGCCGUAAUAC